GUCAGAAGAGUACUUUUCCUCUUUAAUAAUAGCUCACGUCGUGCCAAGAAACAACGGUUUGUAAAUUGUUAAGGAUUGAUCGAGAGGUGGCAGUAGCCAUAACAGACAGGAGUGAGAUCUGUAUAUACCAACUGCAAGGAUUCAUUGUACCAAAUCAACAGCCUGGACAACGGCUUCCACGUUUUCUCGCAGAGCUGCACACUAUGGAACAUCCUGUGGUCUACAUCGUUGGGAAACACAAUUCCGGGAUGUUUUAGGACGUUUAUGCUCUGCUCACACCUGCACUUUACAUCAAAUCUGUGUUUUUAUUUAUGUUUUGCAUGUAUUGCUGCUCGAUUUCGUUACGUUUUCUGUGACAAUGGAAUCCAUUUGCACACUUCUGUGUUAAAUGUUCUUCCAUAAAUGACGGACUGAUGACUUUUUGCAAGAAAGAUUGUCUGUUUGAGGAGA